GCCCUUAUAGUCUAGCGGUAUAGGACUUCAGUCCUAUAGGCGCCCAUGUACCUCUGACUGAGGAGGCGUGGGUUCAAAUCCCACUAAGGGUA